AGAAUGUAUCAUAAUUCAUAUUAGAUGUAUUGUUUGGGAACUUGUUGCUGUCUCCUGUCUUGCAUGUGUUCGCAGAUUGCAUUUUCAUAUACUUUUAUCCACUGGACAUACAGUAUUAAUGCAUAAAUUUCUCUUUGAUCCCUCGAGGUUGUUCAACUUUCAUUUCACCUCUAUUUGCUAUCAGAAUAGGUCUUACCCUUGGCCUUUAACAACCCGAUGAGUUUGCGCUAUACAUUCCCGUACUACCCGUAAGCACCUUUUGUCACUAGUACCUCUCAUACAAUCUUUUGUGAUUUACAGCAACCACGAAAAGGAAAGACCAUGAUCAUUCAAUAGAACCUGAAAUUCUGAAACUAAAGGCGGGAUUAAGGGUCAAUCUAACUGGUCCCGAGUCCAUUCAAAAUCCGCCUGCCAGCACUACCACAAGUCACUUGGAAGAUCAAGAGAUGGUCCUCCUCCUUAAAGAGAACAAAAGGCUCAACGCACGAUCUCUGAAUAUGAGAAGAUGGAUGAGGAACUUAAUGCUAAGGUAACUUUGCUAAGGAAGGAACUGAAGGAAGCCCAGCGCGAGUACGGUCGGUUGCUUAUUGAAUCAGGAUCCCUGGAGUACCCCAAGAUGGAAAGUACUGUUACUCUAUAGAUAAUACUUGUUAUAGUGCUCGUAUGUAUAUAUAUUUGUAAACUUUAAGAAAUCCCUUGCUCAGCUUCUAUGUGCUUGUAAGAAUAGGGAGCUAACUUGUUAUAGUGCUUGUAUGUACAUAUUUUCUGUAAACUAUAUAUUUUUGGUUAAGAAAUCCGAUAUAGCGUCUGCUGAAAUUAGCAGGUU